rnacentral:lncRNA from 1 species
UUUUAAAAGAAUAGUGAAACAAAUGUUUCAUGUAAUUGAAAUUUUAUUACUUAUAUUUCUAUAAAAUAAAAGUUCUCAAUUAUCAUUUGAUAAAUUUUCCAAAUUUAGCAAUAGAUGAGAAAUAAUAUACUUAUGCUAUAAUAAAUAAUAUAGUCCUCCAUAGACUUUCAAGCAUUUGUUUAUUCUUAUCUUAAAUGCUUCAGGUAUCUGCUCUCUAGGCACUCAACUCUUAAUUUUCCCCAUGCUUUGAUCAAGAGAGCCAUUUUGAUAAAUACAAACUUAUAUUAACUGGGGCUCUGAUUUUAGACCAACCAUACUAAAAAGUAAAAAAAGGUACAAAUCUGUUAAAUUUGGGUACUGUCUCUAUGUAUGAUGAAAUCAGGUCAGGAAUAUUGUGGCAUCUUAAAUAUAAUCUUACUCUGAAAUUUUCUAAAAUUUCUUUUUUUCUCCUCUUUUUUUUUUCCUGCUUGCGCAGUAAUAUUUCUUUCAACAUUAAAUAUUUUGCUCUCCUAUACAAAUUUUCCAAAAUCUUCAUUUAAUAUGUAAGUCCUCUAUUAACAUAUUAAAAUUUUUUUAAAAAAAAAGUUACUGCAGAACUGGAAAUAAACUUUUAGCUCACUGUUAUUUUGCUUUAUUUACAAUUAUUUUAUAAACAAUAUUGGGUGAAAAUUGUCUAGUGCAUUUUUAGAUUUUUCAUAUUUAUGUACCUAAACUAUUUGUUUGUUGAUUAAUAAGUUUAUUAAUUGGAUUUGAAUUAAUAAGUUUAUUAAUAGUUAGACUUUAGUGAAUUCAGAUCUUUAUGUAUAAGAUUAACAUAUUCUUAAAUUAGUUUUGGUUCUAAGUAGUUUAUUCUUUAAAAAUUACUGUUUUAUACUUACAUAUUUAAAAUUGCCUUAAAUACAGAUUACUAUGUAUAAGAAUAUUUGUAUUAGAUGCGAAUAUAGAAAGACUAGAAAAUAGAUUUUUUGUAAUACAUAAAACUUUAAUAAGCUGAAAAGAAACAAGUAAUAGUUAUGACAUUUUGCAAGUACACCUAAUUUAUUUAUUUACAUGAUAUAUGGAGUUAAAGAUAUUAAAAUCUGCUAUCCUCAAAAAUAAAAUUUUUAAAUAAAAUUUGAAUAUUCAGAAAUUAUAUUCAAUUGAUAUCGUUGAAAUUUAGUAUCUUACUAUAUAAAAUUACGUUCUUUAAAAGUGGUAAAAAUUAUAUACCUUACUUAUAAAUUUCUAUUUGUAUUGCAUUUCAAAACUUAUCCUUCUAAAAUUAAAUAAAAUAAUAAAAAAUUAUAAAUAAUUAUUAAUAAUUAUUUUUAGCAUGAAAUUAUUUUGGGAUAAAUGAGUUUUAUAGUUGUGUGCCAAAAUUUUUCAAUUGACUGUAAAAGAGUGCUCUUGAGAUAUAGCAAAAUAUGUAAGUUAGAAAUUAACGUUAAGGUGUCAAAACUUUGGAGCGCUCUCCUGAUCAAAUUAUUGGGACCAUAUUUCUCAGAUUGCAGUUAGCUCCUUUAUUUUUGGAGUCAAAAAUCCAAAUCCGUUAAAAAAAAGUGUAUUCAAAUAAAGUACCUUUUGCGUGUCUGAUUUCGUAGCUUAAAAUAUUCUCUUCCUUUAUUAAAGAGCAUAUUUGAAGUCACCCCCUUGUGGUAUGGUUCCUGUGUAUGAUGGAAAGAAACAACAUUUAAGGGUACAGUAACAAAGAAUGUUCUUUAAAUGGCUUUGCACUAACUGUUUGCCCCAACCACUGCUGGGAUUGGAUAGGCAAAGGAAUGCUUUCUCUUUUUAUUUUUGGUUGACCUUUUUGCUGCAUUUUCUUCCUCCUAAAAAUAAUAUACAAUUUAUUAAGAUAUUUCUUUUGGGAAUUCAUUUAUGUCACCUAUGUUGAUUAUAUCUGCUUGCACAUUUUGAUUUAGUACAAAGUAAUAAAACAGGUUGGCGUGUGAUAGUGUACCCAACCAGUUCAAGUGACUUAGCCUCUGACUGUCACUUUGCUUCUUAUGUGCAUACACUGACUCUUAGUACAAAUGAUAUUCUGCUGCAUCUGAGUAUGUUGCUUUCCCUGUAAGUUGUUUUUCUGGUAUAGCAUCCCAUUCUCACCAUUCCCCUUUGUUCAUUAUGUUUCCAAAAAGCUAGACUUCUUCUCCUUUCUAUUCGUUAUGCAUGAUCAAGUUUCAUUAAGUGUUUGAAAUCGAUCUUAAUUAAGAGUUACAAAAAUAAAGCUUUUGUUUGCAAUGCUACUUAAACUUUUAUGAUCAUUAUUUAUUUAUGCACAGUUAUUUUUAUGCGGGUAAACUCUUUUUAAUGAAACUAAACAUAAAUAGGGAAUUAAUAAAAUAAUAAGUUUUGUUUAAUUAAUACUUAUUUAUAUUAUAAUUGUUUAUAACCAAUUAGUAACAUUCUGAUCUUGUGAAAUAUAAUCACUUUUUUUUUCAUUUUCCUUAUCUUUUUGGUGGUGUUUAUCGCCAUGUAACAUUGUGGCAAUUUUAAUCAAAAUUUGAGGGGACAUUUAAUCAGUUAAGGUAUUUCUGAUUAAAUAUUUACACACCUAGUUACAAAAUACAUACCAGAUCGGAAUUCUUAUAUGAUCAGGGCAUGUCAAGCAAUAAAAUUUUCGAGCCCUGCUUUGAAGUAUGUCUAAAUUGACAAUAAAAUAAUUUGAAUUAGCACUUUAUUUUGUGUAACCUAUGUUAAAAAUGAUAGAUAUGCUGUAAGAACUAAUUUAUGAGCUUAAAAUUAUGAACAUCGACGUAGUAUACCAAAGAUUUUUCUAUGUAUCGCAUAAUAUGAAAGUCGUUUUGUAGAUAUUAUAAUUCCAAGAGGAAAAAGUUUAUUAAAUUAGUUAAAAGUAUUAGAGUGUCAGACUUUUUACAUUCUCAGAUUAGUACAAAAAAAUUCGAUUGGCAGUAACGUUCUUUGGGGGCUUUAUUAUAAAAGAAGCUCUGAUUAAAACUAACCAUAUUUGAUUUUAGGGAAACUAUUAUACAGUAUUUUGUUAAAAUAUAUCUAUAUAUUUUGCUGAUUGAUUGGCGAUAUGGAGAGCUAAAACUCUGGUAAUUUUUUGGGUAUUUGAAUAAAUGUAACAUUUCAUUAAGAACAAUCAAUUUUAGAGAAAGUUUCUUUAUAAACAAUUCAAAUGAAUUAAAGGUAUUUAAGAACUUUAAAAUGAUUAUGAUAUUUGUAUGUAUGUAAAAACUAUUUUAUAAAUCAAUUGAUAAAAAUUUCUGGAUAUUUAAUUAAAAACUUUAUUGGAUGCAAGUAUUAUUUUUAAACAUAUUAACUUAUCUAUUUUAAUUAAUAAAAAUUUCUCCCAAUAAAAGAAAUAUCUACAUUAGUAUAAAUAUGUAAAGCUUAAAUAUUUUCAUGUCAGUAAUAAAUUGUUGAUUACUUUAAAAAAUAUAUUUUGUGCAAAAAUGUUAUCGGCUAUUCUCGAUUCACAUUUCAAAUCCUUAACAACUGUAUUAAAUGUUAGGUAAUUAUUCUAGCUAACAAAUAGUCAAUUAUUCAAUUCUUAGCAAAUAUAAAAAGUUAUUUGUUGACUUUUUUAAAGUGUUCAGUUGCCUUCUUUUAAUAAAACUAGUGAUGAAAUAUAAAGCUAAAAUCAGUAUAUUGAACUUACUAUUUUGCUAUUACCAUAUUACUAGUAUUGAUUCUUACUAUUUUCUUAUUAUUAUUCAAAAUUUUUCACAACUAAAGAGAAUAUGAAUGUGUUGAAAUCAUCAGAAAUUUAUUCUAUAAUCUUUUUUUUUUGUUGAUAAUUUGAUCUUUGAGUAGUGAAGUUAAUAGUAAAAACUAUUUUUAAUGAUUUAUACCAAUAAGAAAACCUUUCCAUAAAUUGCAUGAAAAUUGAAAUGCGAUUUUGCUUUAUUCUGCAGGUUUUAUUGAUGAAGAAUCUGAAUCAAGUUGUGCAAUAUGUUAAUAGAGAAAUGAGUUCAUUGAAAAAGAAAUCUUUCUAUUAUAUAUAAAAGAACUGUGAUGUAAAAAUUGUAAAUGAGUAAAUAUAUUUUGAAAUAUUUCAAACUUAAUCUUUGGAUUUUAGUAGCUUAUUUAUUAUAAAUUUUUUAAUCAUCUGUUUCUGAGCUUGAUUCUUAUUAUUUACAAAUAUAGUCUGUAACAAUUCUUUUUUACAUAAAAUUUUGCUUGUUUUGUAAAUAGAUUUAUUCCUUGCUCAUUAUUAUGAACAAAUGUGUAUUUUUCUCUUGUCAGUGUAAUUAUUCUUGUAAAUUUAGUUUUGUUUGAAAAUUCAGAGCUGAAUGGUAUUUAUUAAAAGCAUCAUAAGUAUA